rnacentral:rRNA from 1 species
UGGGGAAUUUGGACAAUGGGCGCAAGCCUGAUCCAGCCAUGCCGCGUGUGGGAAGAAGGCCUUCGGGUUGUAAACCGCUUUUGUCAGGGAAGAAAUCUUCUGAGUUAAUACCUCGGGAGGAUGGCGGUACCUGAAGAAUAAGCACCGGCUAACUACGUGCCAGCAGCCGCGGUGAUACGUAGGGUGCAAGCGUUAAUCGGAAUUACUGGGCGUAAAGCGUGCGCAGGCGGUUUUGUAAGACAGAGGUGAAAUCCCCGGGCUCAACCUGGGAACUGCCUUUGUGACUGCAAGGCUUGAGUGCGGCAGAGGGGGAUGGAAUUCCGCGUGUAGCAGUGAAAUGCGUAGAUAUGCGGAGGAACACCGAUGGCGAAGGCAAUCCCCUGGGCCUGCACUGACGCUCAUGCACGAAAGCGUGGGGAGCAAACAGGAUUAGAUACCCUGGUAGUCCACGCCCUAAAACGAUGUCAACUGGUUGUUGGGAAGGUUCCUUCUCAGUAACGUAGCUAACGCGUGAAGUUGACCGCCUGGGGGAGUACGGCCGCAAGGUUGAAAACUCAAAUGAAUUGACGGGGUCAUAGCUGUUUCCUG